GAAUGGGAUUCAUGAUCACGGGACGAGCCAUUUCUCAAUAAUAGAUAAGGAGAGGAAUGUUGUAGCAAUGACUACUACAAUAAACGGUUACUUUGGGGCAACAAAGCUGUCUCCUAGCACCGGAAUCGUUCUGAACAACCAAAUGGACGACUUCUCGAUCCCCAUGAAGCCCCAACCAGAUGUGCCGCCUCCAGCGCCGGCUAACUUCAUCCGUCCCGGGAAACGACCUUUGUCUUCAAUGUCUCCCACCAUUGUACUCAAGGUUGGUUAAAAUACAUGUUACUUUUGCUCACGAAAGUCGGAAUUAGGAUUCUAAAUGACAGUGUUUUCUGCUUUGGUUUCUGUAGGAUGGUAAAGUGAAAGCUGCAGUUGGUGCGAGUGGAGGAUUGUAUAUCAUCCCUGGAGCAACACAAGUUUUCUUGAAUCAUUUUUUCCUCAACAUGGAUCCUCUCUCUUCUGUCAUGGCUCCAAGAAUCUUUCACCAGGUUUGUGCUUCUUUUUUUACCCAAAUUAGAAACUUUCUUGUUCUUUUGUUUAUAGCUAAUUUUUUUUUUGUGAUGUCAUUUUGCAGCUGAUACCAAAUAGAAUUUCGUAUGAGGAUUGGAGGACGGUUUACGAUGAUCACUUCGAGCUUACUAAAGAGACAAGAGACGUUUUGGAGAAGAAAGGUCAUGUUCUAACGCCGAUUGCUGAUGGAGCAAUUUCUCAGUUAAUAGUUGUAGAAUCCGGUGGAAAUUCAAACGGAACGAGUAGGCUUGUAGCAGUUAGUGAUCCAAGAAAAGGAGGGUUCCCCUCAGGAUAUUAAGAUAUAUAUAUAGGGCUUCAUAAUUUAUGGCAUCGAACUAUGACUAUUAAAUUUUAAUCAUGAUAAAUAAAAAUAUUAAAACUUUUUAUUUUAUUUGCGAUAAGAUCAUAAUUUAACAUAGAAGAGUAUACUUUCUUAACAGCAGAAGAGUACAGAGCAACCUCAUCGUUUGGGUUUCAAAACUAGGUUUCUACACUGAAUAAAACUAGCAAUUUAUUAUAACUUUAUUAAUUUAAAAAAAAAAACUUUAUUAAUUUAAUUAAAUCAAAUUGCUUUAAGAAGAUAAACUCAUUUAAUAUGUAUCGGAUUUAUUUAAUCAAAAUGCCAAGAAAAGGAGGGUUCCCCUCAGAAUGUUGAUAUCGGAUUUGAUUUUUUCCACUGCGUAUUGUAACGAACUUGUUUAUGAUAGGUAGCCUUUUAUUUUUAUAUUUUCUUAAUCAAACAUAUAUAGUAAUUGACUAAUUGGCAUGAUGGCAUCACUCUUAUUUGACCAAUCGUAAUAUGGAGAAUAUUAGAAUUAAUUAGUUGCCUGGUAUGUUUAAAUCCAUAUAUAUGCUCUUGAAAGUGGUGUAUUGUUGGCAAAAUUUCUCAAAGAGAAACGUUACGGGAAUUAUAGAUUCUAUUUUUUUUUGUUCAAUGUGACGCCGAAUCUCACUAUAAGAUCGGUUAUUGACUAUGAUAUUAAGUUUCAUGGAUUUUUUUUAACUCGAUGCUAAUUGACAAUCAGUAAAUAGAUUGAUCUAAUAGAAAAGUGGAAAAAGAAACAUUAUUAAAUACUGAGAUCAAUGUAGUGUAAAGAACUUUUUUAAAUGGCAGAACGAGAAGAGAACAAAUUGUUCUUUAUAUAAAUAGAUAGAUAAUCCGGCUUAUUAGUUUUUACUUUAUGAAUUUAAUAUUUGUAAAAUCAGAUAUCGAUCAAAAUGGUAAUAAUUAUGAUCAUAGACUCACAAAUUUCUAAUAACUUGAUGUGUUAUUUGAGGAAAGUGGUGAUGUAUCAUUAUGAAUACUAGGUGUUUUCUUGCACCAUGUGCAGUAAAAAAAAUUUAUUUUAGUGAUGAUUUAUGAGUUAUUCCCAUAUUCUAAAAAAAAAUUCCAAAAAUAUAAAUUGACAUUAAAUGUAAUAUAUGAGUUAUUACCAUAUUUUAUAAAGUUUACCAAAAAUAUAAAUUAACAUUAAAUACAAUUGUCCAUGUCAUAUAUAUUAAGCUAUAAAACAUAUCAUCAAUUUCAGUAGUCAUGUCAUAUUUGUUUUGUGAAAUUGAUUGUAGAAAGGACAUGUGGCAGAAUCACUUCGCAAAUAUAGUUUAAGGGAUUUUCAUUUCUUAAAUAUAGGUAGAUUAAUACGUAAUCGAUGCAGUCUAAAGAACAUUUAAAACAUUGACAAAAGAAGGGAACUACUUAAAAGACUACGUAAAGGACAUGCAACUUUUAAAAGGGGUUUUAUAGAUUCUAAAUUUAUCUACCGUCCAAGAUUGCUCAAAACCACAGAGUCCUAUUUAUGUUCGUUUGAACAAAUUUCAUGUGAUUAUUCAAUAUUUAGCAAGUGACAAACAAAUGAAUUGUAAGUUAUUUUUUCUCUAAUUCUAUACAAAAAUCGUCAAUGAUUAUUCAAUAUAUAGUUAGUUUCUUUGUCGAGUCAUUUGGUUUUCUAGCGUGAAAAGUGACUGAUUGUUACUAACAAGCUUCAAUAUUUAACUCAUAUUCAUAAGUAUGAACUCAGAAGAACUAAAAUUCAACGUCCAAUAAGUUAUAUAAGUCUCGACACUUAUUCAAAAGUUUUGCUAAACUAAACAAAUCUCUUGUCGUUUAUAGGUUUUUUUUUAUCAUCUGUGAUUAAUAUUUGGUUUGAUUCUUCAUCCACCGUAGCUCGAACAGUAACAAUUGUUCUUCUUCUAUUCGCGUUUCUCCAAAACUCGGCGGCUAAGAAAAGACAGCACAGUAUUGUUGCAUCUAACGCUGCGGUUGCGACAGACCAUGGACAGUGUUCAAAAAUUGGAAUCAAUGUUCUUCAUCAAGGAGGGAACGCGAUUGAUGCAUAUAUAUGUGGCUGUUGCUCUCUGUUUGGGGGUUGUGAAUCCAGGGUCUAGCGGUCUAGGCGGUGGAUCUUUUGCAGUGGUUAAGAUGGCUAGUGGUAAAGAAAUUGCUUAUGAUUUUAGAGAGGUCGCUCCUUUACGAGCUACUGAGGUAACUACGUUUUAUUUAAUGCGUUCUUUUUCCUCUUGUCAUAAUAUGCGUUUUAAAAUAAGUGUUUUCCCUAAACGUAAACCUAUAUAAUAGGUUUUUCUUAGCUGUUGUUGGUGUAUAACAUACAUAUUAUUUGGGGAUAAUGGUCUUAGCAUUCUUCAAUAAACAUAUACUAGGUGUUUGUCCGCGAAUUCGCGGAUAAAAAUAUUGUAAGAAAAUAUAUAAUAUGUAUAUAAUAUCAUAAAUUUUGAAUAAUAAAAAACAUUAAAAAUAUAAUUUUUAACUUCAAUUAGUUUUAAAAUCAAUCGUAAAGUUUUUAUAAAUUUGAUGUAAAAAUAAUUGAUAAAUAUUUAGUAAUAACAAAGGAUUGUUGAAUUAUAUACGUAAUUAUCACAUUAACUUCUCCAACAUAUAUUAUGUAUCUUUUUGGCCUAUUCUUAUUUUUCUCUAGGCCUGGGCAUAAAAUCCGGAACCCGAAAUCUGAACCGAACCCGAACCAAAAAAUCCGACCCGUUAGUGUUAUUAACCGAACCAGAACGGGUUUUGUAGGGUGGUACAAAAAAUAUCCGAACCCGAAGUGUUAUUAACCGAACCCGAACGGGUAACCCGAAAAAUCCGAAAUUAAUAGUCAAUAUAAAUAUUUUGAAAUAUAUAUAAGUAUUCCAAUUAUUAAAUUCAAUAUUUGUGGUAAUAUUAUAUAUAAUAAUAAAUAUUAAAAUUCUAAUAAAUGCUUUAAGUACACAAUUAGUUAUAAAGAAGUAUUUUAUAAUUUGCUCAUUGAAAUAAAAAGUCUACUAUGUAUAAGGCAAUACAUAUUGUUUACAAAUGAUGUUUGUUUUCAUGUUUGAUUCAACAUUUUCUUGUUAUUUUAUCAAUUUUAUAUAUGAUAGAUUAAUUUUUAUUUAAUUUAGAUGUUUUUCUUUAUGUUUUACUUCAAAAAAAUUGUUUUUUACUUUGGUUAUAUCUGAACCGAACCAAUAUAACCUGAAUCUGUACGAUAUAUGAUUACUUUAUGGGUUUUAUGAUGCAAUACAAUUUUGAACCGAACCAGAAGUGUUAUUAUCUGAACCCGACCCGUACUAAUAAAAUUUUAGUAUGGGACCUAGAAGCGUAAACCCGAAAAUCAGAAAACCUGAAAAACCCGAAAAACCCGACCCAAAUGCCAACGGGUACCCGAACGUCCAUGCCUAUUUUUCUCGUUAUCAUUUCGUUCUUUUAUUAAAUUUUUGCUAAUGUUUUCUUAAUUUUUUUACAUAUUUUUGCCAAAUAUUUAUUUCUCUCUCUAAAUAGUAAUACAAAACAUACAAUCAGCGAACCAAAAAUCCAUCUUAGAAUGUUUUCAAUCAUAACAUUACCUUAUUUACUAUAUUAUUUGACUUAAAAGCAAAACAUUUUUUAAAUCAAAGUUCUCACAUGUUCCGUUUAAUAUAAUCAUUCCAAUCUUCAAAGUUUAAUUAUUUAUAAAGCAUAUAUGCACAUUAUAAUAGAUUAGUAAUUAGUAUAGAUACGACUAUAUUUUUAUAUGAAUAUGAAAUCAUUAUAUCAAUUUCAAUAAAUUGUUUUACAUUCAUUAUUUUAUAAUUAUAAAAAUAAUUGAUCAAACAUUAUUACACUUUCUAUAUUUUUAAAAAUUAUCUACCAUUAAUUAUUAUUUGUAAUAUCAUUUAGCUUAUUUGGCAAGUGAUAGUAAUUAGUUUUAGAUUUGCCUUUUAUUUUAGAUAUAAUUAAUAAGUUCCAUUCAUUAUAUUAUGUAGUUUAUAAAUACAAAAAAGAAUUGAUCAAACAUAAAUAUUCUUUAUAUAAUUUCAACAAUUAGUUAUCAUAAAUCAUUAUUUUUAAUAUAAUUUAGAUUAUAUGGCAAGUGAUAUUAAUUGGAUCUAGAAUUUUUUUUAAAAUCUAAACUAAAAUAAAUAAAAUUAAAAGUUAUCGACCAAGAAAAUUAUAAAAAAUUUCUUAAGAUUUCACAAAUGAUCGACAUGUAAGCAAAAUUCACUUAAGUGACUUCUAGUUUUAUAUAUAGGAGAAUUUUUUUUAUAAAUAUUUUAUAAACUCAUAUAAAUAAUUUAAAAUUAAGAUAAAAUAAUUUUGUAAGCCAUGAUAGAUAAUUUUAUAAAUGCUUCAGUUUUUUUUUAUAAAUGACUUAUAAGACAUAUAUGGACAUUAUAAUACAUUAAUAAUUAUUAUAAUUCUUUAUAUAUGAAUAUAAUAUUUUAUAUAAGAAGAUGAAAUCAUUAUAUCGAUUUCUAUAAAUUGUGUUUUACUAAUUAUUUUAUGUAGUAUAUAAAUAUUAAAAAAUUAAUCAAACAGUAUUACACUUUCUAUAUUUUUGAAACUUAGUUACUAUAAAUUAUUAUUUGUAAUGUCAUUUAGACUGUUUGGUAAACAUUAUUACACUUUCUAUCAUUUACAUUUACCUAUUAUUUUAGAUCUAAUUAAAAUAAUUAAAAAUUGAAUAUCCCUCAACCAAUCAAAUUAUAACCAUUUUCUUAAACUCUUUUAUGAUUGACUCAUAAACAAAAGUCACUUGAUAUAUAGAGGAUCUUGAGUUUAAAUGGUGCUUUUCAUAGUAUCAAAGUCGAUCUGGGCACAUUGAAUUAAAACAUUUGUAUUGGUCUCCAAAUUUUAUAAAGGUUAUAGACAUAUACAGUUCUCAAAUUAUUUUAUUCUUAAAAAAAAUUGGUAAAUGUUUAUGACUGCAAAAAAUAGUAUGCACAUGCUUUUAAUAUAAUCAUGAACUUUAAUAGCAGUGCUAACUUUUCUUCUGUGUUAUGUAAGCGUUCAGAAGUUUAGAACCCUAUCAUUAGAUUUUUAAUAGUGUUUCCCUGACAUAUGGACCAUAGAUAUAAUAACAUUUCCUAACAUUUCUUUCCUUUGAGCUUAAGUAGCCUUUUCCGUAACGUUCUUAAUGUAGGAUAUGUAUGGCGGUAAUCUUGAACUAAAGAAGAAAGGACCCCUAUCAGUAGCUGUCCCCGGGGAAGUCGCAGGUCUAUUCACUGCUUGGAAACAAUUCGGAAAGCUACCAUGGAAGCAAUUAGUGUACCCCGCAGAGAAACUUGCAGCUGAAGGAUACAUGAUUUCUAAGUAUCUUUAUAUGCAGAUGAACGCUACCAGAGAUGAUAUCUUAGCAGACAAAGGUGGUCUCUCUGAGCUAUUUGCUUCAAAUGGUGAGCUCAAGAAACCAGGGACGAUUGUUUGUAACCCAAAAUUGGCUUUCACACUUAAGCAAAUCGCUGAACAUGGUCCAAAAGUGUUUUACAAUGGCACGGUUGGGGUUAACUUGGUGAAUGAUAUACAAAAGUUGGGAGGGAUAGUAACUUUGAAAGAUUUGCAUAAUUACAAAGUUAAAGUUAAAAAACCAUUAUCUAACGAUAUUCUUGGAUACCGAUUACUCGGUAUGCCUCCUCCUUCCUCUGGUGGCCCUUCAAUGGUGCUUGUAAGUCUGUUUUUUAUUCUUUUGGCUAAAAAUUUAUAUUUCUUCAAACCCUACAUUUAUUUAUUUGUUGGGAGUUUUCUUGUGUUGCAGAUUUUGAAUAUUCUUUCUCAAUAUGGAAUUCCAAAGGGUGUUGCGGGACCGUUAGGUGUUCAUCGACUAGUUGAGGCUCUAAAACAUGCAUUCGCGGUCAGAAUGAACCUCGGGGAUCCAGAUUUCGUCGAUGUUAUUAAGGUUGUUUCCGAUAUGUUGUCUCCAAAGUUUGCACAAGAACUGAAGAAAAAGAUUAACGAUGACAAAACCUUUGAUCCUAAAUAUUAUGGUGGCAAGUAAGUUUUUCUAUCUAUUAAAAUCCAUCUUAUUCGAAUAGAUUUUAUGAUGUUUCUUCUCUUAUUUUGUAGAUGGAAUGAGAUUCAUGAUCAUGGGACGAGCCAUUUCUCAAUAAUAGAUAAGGAGAGGAAUGUUGUAGCAAUGACUACUACAAUAAAUGGUUACUUUGGGGCAAUAAAGCUGUCUCCUAGCACAUGAAUCGUUCUGAACAACCAAAUGGACGACUUCUCGAUCCCCAUGAAACCCCAACCAGAUGUGCCUCCUCCAGCACCGGCUAACUUCAUCCGUC
rnacentral:lncRNA from 1 species